rnacentral:rRNA from 1 species
UACGUAGGGGGCAAGCGUUGUCCGGAAUCAUUGGGCGUAAAGCGCGUGUAGGCGGCUCGGUAAGUCCGCUCUGAAAGUCGGGGGCUCAACCCUCGGAUGCGGGUGGAUACUGCCGGGCUAGAGUGCGGAAGAGGCGAGUGGAAUUCCUGGUGUAGCGGUGAAAUGCGCAGAUAUCAGGAGGAACACCGGUGGCGAAGGCGGUUCUCUGGGAAUGUCCUGACGCUGAGGAGCGAAAGUGUGGGGAGCGAACAGG